rnacentral:rRNA from 1 species
CCCUUAGAUGUCCUGGGUCGCACGCGCGCUACACUGAUGCAUUCAACGAGCCUAUCCUUGACCGACAGGUCCGGGUAAUCUUUGAAUCUGCACCGUGACGGGGAUAGAUUAUUGCAAUUAUUAAUCUUCAACGAGGAAUGCCUAGUAGGCGCAAGUCAUCAGCUUGCGUCGAUUACGUCCCUGCCCUUUGUACACACCGCCCGUCGCUCCUACCGAUUGGGUGUGCUGGUGAAAUGUUCGGAUCGGCCGUUUGUCGCGGUUUCCGCGUCAUGUGGCUGAGAAGUUCAUUAAACCCUCCCACCUAGAGGAAGGAGAAGUCGUAACA